rnacentral:lncRNA from 1 species
GAAAGGCAGUAUUCACAACCGGUAUUUUGUGAAAUAAAAAUAAGAGAUUUUGGCAGAAAAGGGAAUACACGAAAUUCAACAGCAUUUCUGGAGUUUAAAGAAUCAAGGUGAUAUAAAAAUGGCUUCGAUAAAAUAUGUGUGCAUAUCUUUAAAUGUUUUUCUUCUGUUUAUAUAUGUCAAUUCCAACGUUUUACGGCCUAACAAAGAGAUAAAUGGAAUUAUAACAUCACCAGAUGCUGAUGUUAAGGACAACCGUUGGUAUGACGACGACACUGUCAGUGAGAUUAACAGCUACUUAAAGUUUGAUGACAGUGGAAUGUUAAGGUUGAAAGAUACAAACACCCACAGCAUGGGGAACAUGCACCAGCAUAAUCAAAUCAGAUCUAUUCACCACUUUGCAAGACAUAAUCUCUGCAGAAAUUACAAAGGAAAAGUACGAUUUUACAGAGCUCUGAAAAACAAGCUUUGCAACGACCCCAAAAAUAAGACGAAUAUACUAUUAGAGGACGGUUAUAUAGACCAUCAUGAAAGGAAUUAUUAUGACGACUGAAGAACACUUUCUUCACUGCAAGAUCGUUUCUAUAUGGUUUAGUUCAUAUCAAGGCCUAUGCAGGAUAAACGAUUCUUUGUACUAAACAUCAAAUAAAUGAAAUAUAAUUUCUAACAAGAAAUACGUCUGAUGACUGGAAAGCAGUGGAGAGUUAUAUAACUGUGAUAUUUUAAACAGAAAAAAAAACUUUCAAAUUUGCAAAGGUAUUUUGAUAUUUAUUUACACUGUAGAAUUCUCACUGCUAUUCUUUGCUUACACUAUAUUAUCCACUGCAGUUUUAGUUGCAAUGUUCCAAAAUGCGAACGUUGGCAUAAAUAAGGUUGUAUUUAUAUUUGUUGUGAGUGCAUAAAUGUAGUUAAUCAGGUGCCCGCUCGUGAUGAAAUAAUGCACGGAGGGGCACCUGGGGGUCUUCCUCCACCAUUAAAAAAGCUGGAAAGUCGCCAUAUGACCUAUCAUGUGUCGGUGCGACGUUAAAUCCACCCCAAAAAAAAAAGAUUUUAGUAAAUAUUUUUCAGAUCUUAACCAGCUGAUCAUUUACACUAAAUUCUGUUCACCAAGUUCUUAAUACCCGUCACAUUUUCACUGGGAAUUCUUUUAAAAUUUGAUUUUCCUUAUUCUGUUUGCCCAAUCAAGACAUCGUUAUUUAGGCACGAGUAUAAAUUGAAUAAACAUAUUUUGCCAAAGGAAUAAUAUGAAUAUAAGCACUAAUAUAUUAAAGUUGUCAAAGAUUUCCAUUGACAAAUACAUAUUUUGCGAAAUUUAAUUAGAAGUGCAAGUUCAUUGAAUUAUAACUACCUCCAUUGUAUGAAUCCAUUUAUCUUCAAUCUGUCUUGGUUGCGCAACCAAGAUAGACAAAAGGAAGGUAAUAAUAAUAUUUUAAACUUGCAUUUCUUUUUUGGCAAAAUAUGUACUUACCGAUGCAAAUCUUUGACAGCUUUAAUACAAUAUUGCUUAUAUUCAUAUUACUGCUUAGGCAAAUGUAUGUUUAUCAAUUUAUAUUUAUGCUAAAAUAAGCACUAUAUCGGUUGGGCAGCCAAAUCCAUUGAAAAUCAGACGGGUACUAAGAACUCGGUGAACACAAUUGAGUGUAAAUGAUCAGUUAGUUAAGUUUUGAACAAAUCCAUUUGUUGACCAAAAUCUGAUUAACCACCUUUAAAUUCUCGAAGUUAUAACGUUUAUGGUUUAAAUAUUGCUUGCAUACUUGUGUUAUUUGUCUAUUUGGUUCAGUAUUAAACAAUUUACUUGUUGUAAUAAGAGUAAAAAUGUGUUUUGUUAUGAUAAGGGUAAAAAGGUGUUUUGUUAUAAUAAGGGUAAAAGUGUGUUUUGUAACGAUAAGGGUAAAAAGGUGUUUUGUUAUGAUAAGGGUAAAAAAGUGUUUUGUUAUGAUAAGGGUAAAAAAGGUAUUUUAUUAUGAUAAGGGUAAAAGGGUGUUUUGUUAUGAUAAGGGUAAAAAGGUAUUUUAUUAUGAUUAGGGUAAAAGGGUGUUUUGUUAUGAUAAGGGUAAAAAGGUGUUUUAUUAUGAUAAGGGUAAAAGGUGUUUUAUUAUCAUAAGGGUAAGAAUGUAUUUUGCUAUGAUAAGGGUAAAAAGGUGUUUUAUUAUGAUAAGGGUUAAAAUGUGUUUUAUUAUCAUAUUAUCGCCAGUAUUAUGAUUAUUAUAAAUGAGCCGUGCCAUGGGAAAUCCAACAUAGUGGCAUAGCGCA